AACGGCGAGUGAAGCGGUAACAGCUCAAAUUUGAAAUCUGGCCUCACGGUCCGAGUUGUAAUUUGUAGAGGAUGCUUCGAGCAUGGUCUGGCCUAAGUUCCUUGGAACAGGACGUCAUAGAGGGUGAGAAUCCCGUAUGCGGCCAGGUGCCUACGCUCAUGUGAAGCUCCUUCGACGAGUCGAGUUGUUUGGGAAUGCAGCUCAAAAUGGGUGGUAAAUUUCAUCUAAAGCUAAAUAUUGGCCAGAGACCGAUAGCGCACAAGUAGAGUGAUCGAAAGAUGAAAAGCACUUUGGAAAGAGAGUUAAACAGUACGUGAAAUUGUUGAAAGGGAAGCGCUUGCAACCAGACUUGCGCGCGGCCGAUCAUCCGGUGUUCUCACCGGUGCACUCGGCCGUGCUCAGGCCAGCAUCGGUUUUGGCGGCUGGAUAAAGGCCCUAGGAAUGUAGCUCCUCUCGGGGAGUGUUAUAGCCUAGGGUGCAAUGCAGCCUGCUGGGACCGAGGACCGCGCUUCGGCUAGGAUGCUGGCGUAAUGGUUGUAAGCGGCCCGUCUUGAAACACGGACCAAGGAGUCUAACAUCUAUGCGAGUGUUUGGGUGUCAAACCCAUACGCGUAAUGAAAGUGAACGGAGGUGAGAACCCUUAAGGGUGCAUCAUCGACCGGUCCUGAAGUUUACGGAAGGAUCUGAGUAAGAGCAUAGCUGUUGGGACCCGAAAGAUGGUGAACUAUGCCUGAAUAGGGUGAAGCCAGAGGAAACUCUGGUGGAGGCUCGCAGCGGUUCUGACGUGCAAAUCGAUCGUCAAAUUUGGGUAUAGGGGCGAAAGACUAAUCGAACCAUUGACCUGUAGGAACACUACUAGGUGGUUAAGAGGCGGCUAAAAGUGCCGUCUAGUCCCGACGCCGGGGCGACACUGUCAAAUUGCGGGAACAUCCUUAGAGCCUAGACUACCGCAGCCUUCCUGAAAGGGGGGUGCGCACCAGGGUAAUGACCUCGGGUAUGGUAAUAACGUCUAGGAUUGGACAAUCCGCAGCCAAGCCCUACGGACCUCGGUCUAUGGGUGCAGUUCAUCGACUAGAUGGCAGUGGGUGGCAGCAAUGCCGCUUAAGAUAUAGUCAGACCCCCGGGAGACCGGGCGGCAGAACGAAGACCGUGGGGGGCGUCCUCUCUGAGAGCCCCGCGGUCCCGAGUCUGCUGGUGGCGUCGCAG
rnacentral:rRNA from 1 species